UUUUCUCUCUUCUAGGAAAGAACGCUGACCAUUGUGUAUGGUUGUGGCUAUUGCCCUGUUAACUUUCGUUCUUGUUUCCUUAAAAUAACAGUGCUAGAAGUAUAUAUAAUCUAAUUUCUCUGUGGUAAAAAAUGCUUGGUCUCCUGGGUAGCUAGCCAGCUAUAUCUUAUGAUGGCAGCAUUAACUAGCAUGUAUUUAAAUAUCAUCAUGCGGGAAGUAAUUGAAUAAACACAUGGCUGGAAAUCGAAUUGGUAAUGUCCUCAUUGGAUGGGGCGUUAUAACUGCAUGUGGGCUUUGUACGUUAAUCGUUGCAAAAAAGACUAUCGACCGACGCCGACUGGAAGUGAUAAAAAAACAAGCCGCAGAGAAAAGGAAGCUACAAGGGACUUCAUAAAGUUAUGUUCUGUAGAUUAUCCCAUGCUGUAGAUAUUUAAAUACUGUGUUUUAAUAAUCCAUUAUUUUCGAUAUAGAAAGGUUUUUCUAAGUUUUGUAACUUAGAAAAAAAGAUACUUUACAAAUGAUAAAACAAAUAAGCGUAUUUUAGUAAA